rnacentral:rRNA from 1 species
GCUUGUCUCAAAGAUUAAGCCAUGCAUGUCUAAGUAUAAACGACUUUAUACUGUGAAACUGCGAAUGGCUCAUUAUAUCAGUUAUAGUUUAUUUGAUGGUCCUUGCUACUUGGAUAACCGUAGUAAUUCUAGAGCUAAUACAUGCAUUAAACCCCGACUUCUGGAAGGGGUGUAUUUAUUAGAUGGAAACCAAUGCGGGGCAACCCGGAAUAUGGUGAAUCAUAAUAACUGUCGUAUCGAGCAAUCGAAGCGCCAUACAAGUUUCUGCCCUAUCAGCUUUGGAUGGUAGGGUAUUGGCCUACCAUGGCUUUAACGGGUAACGGAGAAUUAGGGUUCGAUUCCGGAGAGGGAGCCUGAGAAACGGCUACCACAUCCAAGGAAGGCAGCAGG